GCCCUAGAGCGAGGUCUCCCUUCGCCGCCGCCCUUCAUCCCUUCGCCACGGCCGCUCCACCCAGAGCCGCCGUCUUCCUCGCUGUCACCACCCUCUUCCCUCCCACCCCGAGCCGCCGUCUUCCCCGCCCGCGCCGCUCUCUUCCCCGUCGGUGCUGCCCUCCACUCACCUUCUGUUCUUCAAGCGGGGACGCCCCAGAUCGAGUCAAGCAAGCCACAUCUCCUUGAUGUUGUUGUCCUCAAUAGGCUAAUGACUCGAGGCAUGCUGCUAGCACAAUUACAGAAGGCCAUACAGUCAGCGGCAAAGUGCUCGCCAUCGCUAAUGAUUAACUGCUGA
rnacentral:rRNA from 1 species